CAACCACGGCAGUUCAGUCCAGGACCCGCGGGAGCAACACCGCCGCUCGUGACGCCGCUAACCCCCUCGCCAACUUUUCGUUACUUCCCACUCCCCCCGAAACAAACUGGCAUUUGCAGGCGAUUUACAGCGUUGCUUAGACUCGUUCCGUUCCAGUGGUGGUGUCCGGAUGUUUAGGUUCCCACAAAAUAAGGAACCGCAAAGGUGUUCCGAUUUAGAACUCUUUUUGUUGACUGUCCCGAAAGAGAAAGACAUUUUCAUUGAGUGAACUGAUUUCAUUUUUCGUUCGCUUUGGCUGAAAUACAAAUAUACUGAAAAUUUCACCAGGAAAUUGUUUUUCCAUAGAAAUACUAAAAGGAGUUACGCUGACAUCUCGUGUUCGGGAAGGGCAUCUCGUUCGUAACAUUAAUAAGUGACUAAGAAAUACUGAUUCUACAAUAGAUUUGAAGUGCUAGUUCCAAAAAGAAUUGAAUAACACCAACUUCACAUCCGUCACCAUAUGUCUCCUGAAUGGCUGAGGCAACAAAAACCUAAGCGAGACAAGUAGGACCCACCAACUUGCAAGAGUCAGUUUGUGGAGGGAGAGCGACAAGAUUCCAGACCAUCAAGGCGCAAGACGCGCUUUGGAAUUCAUCUCGGAGAUAGCUAAGUGAGGGAGUGAGUGGUUGGACAAGAAGCUAACACAUUCCUUCUUUCUUUCUUCCUCUUUCUCUGUCUAGCUGGCGUUCACCCUCAUAUCUUUUUCUUUGAUUAAUUUAUUCAUUUAUUUCUCGUCUGACUGUUGCAAUGGUCGAAGCGCUGGCCCUUCUCUUCCACCCGGCCAGCAUCCCUCGCUGAAGAGGUGAUGCAGCGACCGCUGAUCCCAUGUAGUCGGGAGCCCCGAGAUGAGCUGGGGGAUGCCAUUGCCCCUCUGAGGGCCUCUUUCAACCACGUUCCUCCCAUCCAUCUGAGCCGCCGCGCCUGUAGAGGGUAACAGACUCGCCAGAUCACCGAUUACCGCCGGCCGCCUUCUGCAUUCCAAUGAGUGGGGAAAGGUGAGGGCGGGCGGGAGGCGGAGAAGCCAAGGGCGUGAUGUUGGUAUGAUCCCGAGGGCGUGGGCGUGUCUGGUGGUGUUGGCCACUGCGUGGCAGAUUGGCCCCCAACCCACAGCCGCUGCCAAGACCCGAAUCGUCGCCACCAAGUACGGCCAGGUCCAGGGACUCAUCCGACAUCUCGGCCACCUCUUGGGAGACGUCGAAGUGUUCAUGGGGGUUCCCUACGCCAGUCCCCCCAUCGAGGAGGGGCGCUUCACCCCGACGAACACCCCUACGCCCUGGGACAGCGUUCUAGACACCACGACCCCGCCUCCCGUGUGCCCUCAACUUCUGCCAGAUCCAGACGAAGCACAGAUGCCCAGGGAGAGGGUCCGCUUCGUCAGAAGAGUCCAGCCGGCGUUGGCCAACCAGAGCGAGGAUUGUCUCACUCUCAAUAUCUACUCCCCCAUCAUGGUCAUUCCAGGAACUGAAGUGUAUCCAGUGUUAGUCUAUCUGCACGGAGAAAGUUUUAGCUGGGGCGCGGGCUCGCUCUACGACGGAUCCGUCUUCGCUGCUUACGGCAGAGUGGUCGUCGUCACCGUGAAUUACCGACUGGGUCCUCUGGGUUUCCUUAACACCUACGGAGGGGGCGUGGGCGGCGUGGUCAGCAACUUCGCCCUUCUGGACCAGAUCGCGGCCCUCAACUGGAUAGCCGAAAACAUCGCCCAGUUCAGCGGCGACCCCGCCCGAGUGACGCUCUUCGGGCGGGAUACGGGCGCCGCUUGCAUUUCGUACCUCAUGGAAAGCCCGAUUGUUCCUCCCGGACUCUUCCAGCGGGUAGUUUUGAUGUCUGGCUGGUCAGGAUGCCCUUGGUCUCAAGUCCCAGCCCCUUUAAGCAUCACCCUACGGCUGGCAGUAGCUGCCGGCUGCCCUGUUCCGGAUGACCCUUCAGCCACUCAUCCACGCACUGUCGCCUGUCUGAGGGCCGCGCCCCUGGAGGCUCUCAUGAGCGCAGCGCGAGAAGUUGAAACCCCGGCCUUCAUGCCAGCCUGGGGCCCGAGCGAAGACGGGGUCGUCGUUUCCAAGGGCAGGAGAGGGUCGUCCUUGAGCCGGCAGCCCGUGGAGGUCGUCAUAGGAUACACGCCCUGGGAGGCCUGGUCGUGGCUAGGCGAAGGCCUCAUCAGUAACGGCGUCGACGACCGCACCUUCGAGAGGGUCGCCCGCACCUGGGUGAGGAACACCCGUCACCAUCACCUGAGGGAGGUGCUGGCGGCGGCGCUGCAGGAGUACACCGACUGGACGGCGGUGACUCCGGGGCCUCAGGCGCGGAGGGACCUCCUCCUGCACCUGCUGGGGGAUGCUGGGGUCAUCGCGCCGCUGCAUCAAGCGGCCGAUGCCCUCGCUCGCCACACGAAGGUCUUCAUGUUCUUGUGCGACCUGGCAAACAGAGUUCCUGGACAGAUACAGGCACCCGGAUGGGAACUCGGCUUAAUAUGGGGGACGGGACUGAGUGACGUCACGGAGUCUCCUGGGGCGCCUUCUCCGCCAAUUAAGGUUCCUGCGCUGACGCAGCUCUCCGAAGACUUCAUUACCUUAUUGACGAAUUUCGCCAAGUCAGGGGAUCCCAACUUACCCAGAGAAUCGCCCUCGCCUGGUUUCGCAGCUGUGGCUUGGCCCAGAUAUAUCCCAGAGUCGAGAAAAUACCUCAGAAUUGGUGUCCCGCCAACCGUCGGAUCACAGUACCGCGCCCACCAACUGGCCCUGUGGACAUGGCUCGUGCCAGAACUGGAGGCCGCCGGAAAGUCCUACCCCCCGGACCCCAACUCGUGGGAAAUGAGCACCGACCCUAAUCUCUUUUACGGCGUAGUGAAGCCUCCAGACCCUUGGCUUUUCCUCCAGCCCAACACUACGACCACAACCACCACGAUCAGUUCAGUGGCCACCACGCCAAUCACGCCCAGUCCGAAGCCUACCAAGCCAGCGGUUACCACUACGUUAGCGUUGUCACCUACAGUUACGAGUAUCAGCCCGAAGAUGCUGCUGCCUGAACCGGACGAAUACGUUCGCUAUUCCACGGCGCUGUUGGUGACAGUCGGCCUGGGAAUUUCGUUGCUGCUUCUCAAUGGGCUCAUAUUCCUCCUUCUCUUCUGGAGGAGGCCCUCUCAUACCUGUCAGGGACACCAUCCCCAGUCUCAGGACGGAGGCGGCCUGCCACGAGUGGGCUCCAUAAUAAGCGUUGGAGGACUUGGAAAAACUUACGGAGGUCCGCCAGACUGCGUCAAAGCCUCUUAUGAAAAGCUCCACUUAACUCCUGAGGAGCUCCAGAAACUUACUAGUAGGUCGCCCACGAGCAUUCUCAAGAGACCUAAGUCGCCGGGGACCCAGAAAUCUCAGGAUUCUUUCAAGUCCUCUCACGGAGUUGCUACCAUUAGCAGUGCUGUGCAUCGAGGCAAUCCAGACGAUUCCGAGGAGUAGUUAUGGGAGAGGUGGAAGAAGUUACCGAGGGGCGGUGUGACGUCGGGUUAGAUGAUCCAGCUGUCCUAUUAAUGAGAUGCGGCUAAGAAAGAACCAGGUGAAUGACCCAGAAGUGACACAGAUGUCAAAGGCCCUUUGACUUACUCAGUGACAUACAGCUCGGAGAUGACGUCCCCAAGUGAAACAAUGAGAUGUUCUCUCCUAGCAGGUAAG